rnacentral:rRNA from 1 species
GUGCCAGCCGCCGCGGUAAUACGUAGGUGGCAAGCGUUGUCCGGAAUUAUUGGGCGUAAAGCGCGCGCAGGCGGUUUCUUAAGUCUGAUGUGAAAUCCCAGGGCUUAACUGUGGAGGGGCAUUGGAAACUGGGAGACUUGAGUGCAGAAGAGGAAAGCGGAAUUCCAAGUGUAGCGGUGAAAUGCGUAGAGAUUAGGAGGAAAACCAGUGGCGAAGGCGGCUUUCUGGACUGCAACUGACGCUGAGGCGCGAAAGCAUGGGGAGCAAACAGGAUUAGAUACCCUGGUAGUCCAUGCCGUAAACGAUGAGUGCUAAGUGUUAGGGGGUU